UACAAUAAAUCUCACUCAUUGGUUCGGA
rnacentral:piRNA from 1 species